rnacentral:rRNA from 1 species
UACCUGCAGCUCAAGUGGUGACCAUUAUUAUUGGGCCUAAAACGUCCGUAGCCGGCUUAGUAAAUGCCUGGGUAAAUCGUGUAGCUUAACUAUACGAAUUCCGGGUAGACUGCUAAGCUUGAGACCGGGAGAAGCUAGAGGUACUCCUUGGGUAGAGGUGAAAUUCUGUAAUCCUAGGGGGACCACCAGUGGCGAAGGCGUCUAGCUAGAACGGGUCUGACGGUGAGGGACGAAGCCCUGGGGCGCAAACGGGAUUAGAUACCCCGGUAGUCCAGGGUGUAAACGCUGCUUGCUUGAUGUUAGUCUGGCUCCGAGCCAGAUUAGUGUCGGAGAGAAGUUGUUAAGCAAGCUGCCUGGGAAGUACGGCCGCAAGACUGAAACUUAAAGGAAUUGGGCGGGGGAGCACAGCAACGGGUGGAGCGUGCGGUUU